rnacentral:rRNA from 1 species
UCCAGACUCCUACGGGAGGCAGCAGUGGGGGAUAUUGCACAAUGGGGGGAACCCUGAUGCAGCGACGCCGCGUGGGUGAAGGAGCGUUUCGGCGCGUAAAGCCCUAUCGGCAGGGAAGAAGGAGGACGGUACCUGACUAAGAAGCCCCGGCUAACUACGUGCCAGCAGCCGCGGUAAUACGUAGGGGGCAAGCGUUAUCCGGAGUUACUGGGUGUAAAGGGGGCGCAGACGGCAGCGCAAGCCAGGAGUGAAAGCCCGGGGCCCAACCCCGGGACUGCUCUUGGAACUGCGCGGCUGGAGUGCAGGAGGGGCAGGCGGAAUUCCUGGUGUAGCGGUGAAAUGCGUAGAUAUCAGGAGGAACACCGGUGGCGAAGGCGGCCUGCUGGACUGCGACUGACGUUGAGGCCCGAAAGCGUGGGGAGCAAACAGGAUUAGAUACCCGUGUAAGA